UCGAUGCAACGCGUAGAACCUUACCAGGGUUUGAAAGGCAAGUGACCGUCGAUGAAAGUCGUUCUGGUAGCAAUACCCACUUGUACAGGUGCUGCAUGGCUGCCCCCCCCCCCCCUCCCGUGAGGUGUUAGGUUAAGUCCUGCAACGAAGCGCAACCCCUGCACUUAGUUGCCAUCAGGUAAUGCUGGGCACUUUAAGUGGACUGCUUACGCAAGUAGUGAGGAAGGCGGGGAUGACGUCAAGUCCUCAUGGCCCUUACACCCAGGGCCACACACGUGCUACAAUGGUUGGUACAAAGGGCUGCUAAGCCGCAAGCCCGAGCCAAUCCCAAAAAACCAACCUCAGUUCGGAUUGGGGUCUGCAACUCGAGAGACAUGAAGCUGGAAUUGCUAGUAAUCGCGGAUCAGCACGCCGCGGUGAAUACGUUCCCGGGCCUUGUACACACCGCCCGUCAAGCCAUGGAAACUGGGGGUACCCGAAAUUAAUUAUGUUAACCGCAAGGAGACAGGCGUCUAAGGUUAAACCCAUCACGAGAACUAAAAAAAAAGAGAAUGAAAGACUAGAC
rnacentral:rRNA from 1 species